UGGGGAAUAUUGGACAAUUGGCGCAAGCCUGAUCCAGCCAUGCCGCGUGAGUGAUGAAGGCCCUAGGGUUGUAAAGCUCUCUCAUCGGUGAAGAUAAUGACGGUAACCGGAGAAGAAGCCCCGGCUAACUUCGUGCCAGCAGCCGCGGUAAUACGAAGGGGGCUAGCGUUGUUCGGAUUUACUGGGCGUAAAGCGCACGUAGGCGGGCUUUUAAGUCAGGGGUGAAAUCCCGGGGCUCAACCCCGGAACUGCCUUUGAUACUGGAAGUCUUGAGUAUGGUAGAGGUAAGUGUAAUUCCGAGGGUAGAGGUGAAAUUCGUAGAUAGUCGGAGGAAAACCAGAGGCAAAGGCGGCUCACUGGACCAUUACUGACGCUAAGGUGCGAAAGCGUGGGGAGCAAACAGG
rnacentral:rRNA from 1 species